GACGUAGGGGGCAAGCGUUGUCCGGAUUCAUUGGGCGUAAAGCGCGUGUAGGCGGCCAGGUAGGUCGGAUGUGAAAUCUGGAGGCUCAACCUCCAGCUGUCAUCCGAAACCAUCUGGCUAGAGUCCGGAAGAGGAGAGUGGAAUUCCAGGUGUAGCGGUGAAAUGCGUAGAUAUCUGGAGGAACACCGGUGGCGAAGGCGGCGUUCUGGACUGCAACUGACACUGAGGAACGAAAGCCAGGGGAGCGAACGGG
rnacentral:rRNA from 1 species